rnacentral:piRNA from 2 species
UGACAAUGUGUGUAUGACCCCAUCCCC